UACGUAGGGACCAAGCGUUGUUCGGAUUUACUGGGCGUAAAGGGCGCGUAGGCGGCAAUUCAAGUCAUCUGUGAAAUCUCCGAGCUUAACUCGGAACGGUCAGAUGAUACUGCUUUGCUAGAGUGCAGAAGGGGCAAUCGGAAUUCUUGGUGUAGCGGUGAAAUGCGUAGAUAUCAAGAGGAACACCUGAGGUGAAGACGGGUUGCUGGGCUGACACUGACGCUGAGUGCGCGAAAGCCAGGGGAGCAAACGGG
rnacentral:rRNA from 1 species